rnacentral:lncRNA from 1 species
CCCUUGUACUUCAAUCGUCAUGCAGACAAAAUACUUUCAUCAUGUCCUGUGCACCAUCUUAAACAAAGAUAUGUAUACUUUAUUUGUGUUCUCACUCCUUGUAUUCAUUAUAUAUUUCUAGGUUAGUCGCCCUACUUUAAUCCCUCUAUUCUUUUGUUUCAAAGAAUUCUCGUUCAAUUAAAUUAUGUAAUAUUUGUUAAAAUUAAAAUAUUUGAU